rfam:Setaria italica strain Yugu1 chromosome VII, whole genome shotgun sequence.
GAGAACUGCGAGGAGCCAACCCUAGCACGAGAGGACUGGGUUGGGUCAACCUAUGGUGUACCGGUUGUUAUGCCAAUAGCAGCGCCGGACAGCUAAGUUGGUAUGGAAGAACUGCUGCGCCACGGGAAAUCCUUCUCUAUACAAGUUCUC